GGAUGCUGACGAGUGGCGAACGGGUGAGUAAUACAUCGGAACGUGCCCAGUAAUGGGGGAUAGCUCGGCGAAAGCCGGAUUAAUACCGCAUACGCCCUGAGGGGGAAAGUGGGGGACCGCAAGGCCUCACGUUAUUGGAGCGGCCGAUGGCUGACUAGCUAGUUGGUAGAGUAAAGGCCUACCAAGGCGACGAUCAGUAGCUGGUCUGAGAGGACGAUCAGCCACACUGGGACUGAGACACGGCCCAGACUCCUACGGGAGGCAGCAGUGGGGAAUUUUGGACAAUGGGGGAAACCCUGAUCCAGCAAUGCCGCGUGUGCGAAGAAGGCCUUCGGGUUGUAAAGCACUUUUGUCAGGGAAGAAAUCCUUUGGGCUAAUACCCUAGGGGGAUGACGGUACCUGAAGAAUAAGCACCGGCUAACUACGUGCCAGCAGCCGCGGUAAUACGUAGGGUGCAAGCGUUAAUCGGAAUUACUGGGCGUAAAGCGUGCGCAGGCGGUUGUGUAAGACAGGUAUGAAAUCCCCGGGCUUAACCUGGGAAUUGCAUUUGUGACUGCACGACUAGAGUGUGUCAGAGGGGGGUGGAAUUCCACGUGUAGCAGUGAAAUGCGUAGAUAUGUGGAGGAACACCAAUGGCGAAGGCAGCCCCCUGGGAUAACACUGACGCUCAUGCACGAAAGCGUGGGGAGCAAACAGGAUU
rnacentral:rRNA from 1 species